rnacentral:tRNA from 2 species
GGGGCUGUAGCUCAGUUGGGAGAGCGCUUGAAUGGCAUUCAAGAGGUCAGGGGUUCGAUUCCCCUCAGCUCCACAA